ensembl:lincRNA
GCCCUCCCCCCCCGGGGGACAGAAGGCCGCUCACCUGCCCACGAGUGGGUCCUGAGACCACCGGGAUGGGGCUUGGGCCCAACAGGCUGCAGAAGUCAGGCUGGAGGCCCUGAUGGCGGAUGCUGGGCGGAGACCCGCCAGGCUCAGGAGCCCGCCUCCGCCAGAGGCCCCUGGAGACGGCCCGGGUGGGCCGGGCUGCUGACCAGGCCAGGAGAGGUCCAGUCACAACUGUCGAGUACCCGGAACGAGAGGGCAAGUGCCCAGGGUGCGCUCUCACGCCUCCCGUCUGCACCCGGCCCCGUGAGGGUCAGAGCCUGUGGCCGGUCACACACAGGCCCCGCGUGAGUCACCGGGUGGGCACAGCUGGAGACCCCCUGGACACUUCCAAGGGGGCAGCCUCUGGCCCCGGCCCCUCAGACCAACCGGGAGACAGACAGAGGAGCCCCAGGGCCAACCUCCCAGGGCCUCUGGCCUCGGGCCUCUGACUGGCCACUUGCCCUGUGGGCAGCCCAGUGCCUUUCACAAAGUGCCCACAAGCUGGGGAUUUCCCACCACUCGACAUGAGACUUUAGGGAGAAAAAGUUUCUUGGUGCCACUAACUGAAGCCCAGCGAAUUCCUGGAACACAUGCCUUCAGCCUUAUCCAGUGUGAGCAGCUGCCGGUUGGACCCCCGGGCCUGGAGACGAGGAUGGGAAGCACGGAGUGCUUUUGAACUACUUUCAUUGUUUUCCCUUUUUGUUACAAAGAAAAGAGCCCGGCAUUCACUGUGUCCCCUCGAGCUUGCUGCCUGGGCAUCUUUCCUGCGCACCCACCAGCCCCCUGGGGAGCCCGCCUGAGUGAGACACCUCAGCGCUUCUUGCUGCCUCUUCCCGGGGCCGCCCUACGCCGAGCACAGAGAAGCCAGUGUCCACGCACCACCCCCGCCGCUCCAGCCUCCCGUUGCUGUGCCUGCCCCAGAGCCCACGGCCUCUGCAGACCUGGGGGCGUCACUGGGACUGAACACAAACAGGGCAGCCCUCCCAGGGCGGUGCCUCCUCUGAAGCCCCUUUAUGAGAGCCCCCGGGUGCAUUCCCACCAUGAGCGUGACUCCGGGCCUGCCAGGCAGUGUUCCCAGGAGGCCAGCAGGACACAGUCCACACAGACCGUGGAGACACACGGCAGCUUGUGGGUGCCCUGUUUUAUUCACCACCGUGUGGAGAAGGAAAUGGCAACCCACUCCAGUGUUCUCUCCUGGAGAAUCCCACGUACAGGCGAGUCUGGCAGGCUGCAGUCCGUGGGGUCGCUGAGAAUCGGACACAACCGAGCGACUGAGCAACGUGCCCACCCUGCCCACUGCCCCCCGCACUGUGCCCCUCUGGGGCUGCGACUCGGGCGGGGUUCUCUUCAGAACCUCCCCUCCCUCCACACUCAGGAACCCCAACUGCAAAUAGGCUCCAGGUUGCUGAGUCUGCCCUCUCUCCCCGCCCUCCUUGCCCCGGCAACGAAGGUCCAACCAGCCAGGGACAGACUCCUCUUCCUUGGAUCAUUUGUCCUCCUAGGGUGGGAGGGUAGCCACCACCUGGCAGGGAAGAGGCUUGGGAAAGAGACCACCCCCAGGUGCCUUCGCUGCUCCCUGGGUGUCUGUGUCUGA